rnacentral:lncRNA from 1 species
CCUAUCUCAGACUCCUGCUGGUUCAGCUUUGGAGACAGAGAUCACACCAAAUUAUAUACCUCUUCUGAAGCCCCGUGGCCCGGACCGUCCCUACCAGCUGCUCAGGAAGAGACCUUUGGACCCACCUCGGAGGGAUGCACAGGGAUGAGCUCAGCAGUCUGGUCAGUGGCACAGCAGCCAACAACCCGAAUGUCUGACUUCCACAGUCCACUGCUAACUCAUCCUAAGGGUAGGCACCUGUUCCCUGAAGAGCUGACAAGAAAUCCCUCUGAGGUGCAAGUCCACUUCCCCAGUAAGCAGCUUUGGUCAAAAACGUGA